rnacentral:rRNA from 5 species
GUUGACCUCGGAUCAGGUAGGGAUACCCGCUGAACUUAAGCAUAUCAAUAAGCGGAGGAAAAGAAACCAACAGGGAUUGCCCUAGUAACGGCGAGUGAAGCGGCAACAGCUCAAAUUUG